rnacentral:rRNA from 2 species
AAGGUACUCCGGGGAUAACAGGCUGAUACCGCCCAAGAGUUCAUAUCGACGGCGGUGUUUGGCACCUCGAUGUCGGCUCAUCACAUCCUGGGGCUGAAGCCGGUCCCAAGGGUAUGGCUGUUCGCCAUUUAAAGUGGUACGCGAGCUGGGUUUAGAACGUCGUGAGACAGUUCGGUCCCUAUCUGCCGUGGACGUUUGAGAUUUGAGAGGGGCUGCUCCUAGUACGAGAGGACCGGAGUGGACGAACCUCUGGUGUUCCGGUUGUCACGCCAGUGGCAUUGCCGGGUAGCUAUGUUCGGAAAAGAUAACCGCUGAAAGCAUCUAAGCGGGAAACUUGCCUCAAGAUGAGAUCUCACUGGGAACUUGAUUCCCCUGAAGGGCCGUCGAAGACUACGACGUUGAUAGGCUGGGUGUGUAAGCGUUGUGAGGCGUUGAGCUAACCAGUACUAAUUGCCCGUGAGGCUUGACCAU